CGAAGUUCUUCUAUCACCUCCCUCUGCCCCUAAAGCCACCACCACGGCCACCUCCUCUAGCAGGCCCACCACGGCCACCUCUUGGACCACCCCUUCCACGAAAGCCACCACCUCCACGGCCCCCACCUCUGCCUCCUCCACGACCGCCUCUUGCAGCAGCUUGUGCCUGUCCCUUUGGUUGCGGAAGAAAUCUUGCAAGAGGUAAAAGCUUAUUUGGAUCAAUGUAGAAUUUGUCCCCAGGCGAAUACACGAAGUUGCCACAAUGCCUUCCAUCAUUUUGAUAGAAAAAAGAGAUUCAUUGAUGGGACCAAAAAUUUCAUCGACUUUCCCUAUCUGGGUCUUGUUUUGUAGAAAGAUAGGGGCAUUAAAGUACGGUAUUUUCUCAUUGCUGAGCUUUGUCACUGCAUCACCCUCACAGGCGUGAAGAAAUGUGGAAACUUCGACGACUUCAGAAGGAGGCCGCCCGUUGCCCCGACACCCACGACGCCCCCGCCCCCCGCCGCGACCACGACCACCUCGACCACCGCGGCCCCCGUCUCUUCCGCCCCUAAAACCUCCACCUCUGGGCGGCCUCAUAGCUUACUGUUUUGGCGUGAACUAGAAUGGGAAAGGAAUGUAGGAGGUUUCUUGGUUGCAGCAGAGUAAGCGAAGUG
rnacentral:misc_RNA from 1 species